rnacentral:rRNA from 1 species
CCAUUAAGAGAAGGAGCAGGCGCGCAAUUACCCAAUCCUGACUCAGGGAGGUAGUGACAAGAAAUAACAAUAAACCGGCUUAUGCCGGUUUAAUUGGAAUGAGUACAAUUUAAACAUCUUAACGAGGAACAAUUGGAGGGCAAGUCUGGUGCCAGCAGCCGCGGUAAUUCCAGCUCCAAUAGCGUAUACUAAAGUUGUUGCAGUUAAAAAGCUCGUAGUUGGAUUUCUGUGGGGACGGAGCGGCCGGCCGCACAUCGCGGUUCGAGCUAGCGCUUUCCCUACAUCCUGCCGCGAACCGUGCUACCAUUAGUUUGGUGGCGCCGGGGAUCGGCUCGAUUACUUUGAGAAAAAUAGAGUGUUCAAAGCAGGCCACAUGCCUUGAAUAAGUUAGCAUGGAAUAAUAACUAGGGACUUCGGUUCUAUUUUGUUGGUGUUCGGGACUGAAGUAAUGAUUGAUAGGGACAGUUGGGGCGGUCUGUAUUCCAAAGCGAGAGGUGAAAUUCUUAGACCUUCGGAAGACAAACAGCUGCGAAAGCGUUCCGCAAGGAUGUUCCCUUUGAUCAAGAACGAAAGUUGGGGGAUCGAAGACGAUCAGAUACCGUCGUAGUCUCAACUAUAAACUAUACCAGCUAGGGAUCGGCCAACGUUAUUUUAUACCGACUUGGUCGGCACCUUAUGAGAAAUCAAAGCAUCUGGGUUCCGGGGGGAGUGUGGUCGCAAGGCUGAAACUUAAAGGAAUUGACGGAAGGGCACCACCAGCCGUGGAGCCUGUGGCUUAAUUUGACUCAACACGGGAAAACUUACCAGGUCCAGACAUAGUAAGGAUUGACAGAUUGAUAGCUCUUUCUUGAUUCUGUGGGUGGUGGUGCAUGGCCGUUCUUAGUUGGUGGAGUGAUUUGUCUGGUUAGUUCCGUUAACGAACGAGACCCCAGCCUGCUAAAUAGCGCGCGUGAGCUUUGCUCGCGGCGAGCUUCUUAGAGGGACUAUGAUGCGCGAUAGCACAUGGAAGUUUGGGGCAAUAACAGGUCUGUGAUGCCCUUAGAUGUUCUGGGCCGCACACGGGCUACACUGGCGCCUGCAACGAGCAUAUCAGCUGGCCCGAGAGGGUCUUGGCUAAUCUUUUGAACCGGCGCCGUGCUUGGGAUUGACCUUUGCAAUUGUUGGUCAUGCAACGAGGAAUGCCUUGUAAACGCGAGUCAUCAGCUCGCAUUGAAUACGUCCCUGCCCUUUGUACACACCGCCCGUCGCUCCUACCGAUGAAUGUUCCGAUGAAAUUUUCGGAGAGCACCUGUGAACUUGGCUCUGCCUUGCGAACGGGAGGCUCAAAGUCAC